rnacentral:misc_RNA from 1 species
CAGCAUCCCAAUAGGUUUGAAAAUAGAAGCUAGAACCUCCAAAAACUGAAAUGUCCUCUCUAAGGACUCGACUGAUCAUAAUUGUUCAGAAAUAGUUCUGCAGUAUAUAAAAUAUUUAUGAAUUAAAGAAUAUGAAUGCUACAUGUGUGUUUUCUAAAUGUGGGACUAUAUAUAAUCAUUGAACAAGCUUUUACUCGUUGAAUAAAUCAAAAUAAAUAUAUCAACAAAAAAAAAAUGAACAUAACCUUUGACUGCCUGAAUGGACACUCCAGGAUUGCUAUCUGCUGUUGCUUACAAUGCUUUAAGGUGUGUGUAUAAAUUCAUCAUCUGAAGCUUUCGGUCAUGGAAGUCACACGGUCUGUGUACCACAGCUUUUGAACAAUAAGUGGGACACUGUCUCAGUUUUUGCUUGGAAUUGUGUGUUCAUUCUCACGGUAUGAACUCGAGUUAUUAGGGCCUAGCAAGUCAUCACAAUUUGUUCUCUCACAAAGGCACUCUUGAGGGUUUGCAUAAAAAUAGUCUUCCUCCUUCGGUUUAUCUGCUAUAACCCGGCGGCGCAUUGGCUGUCCUAUCCUUUUCUCAUGCGCUGCUUGAACAGCAACUGCAAACUCAAUCCAUGGAAGUGUCCCAUUUUGAUGCAAAUCCAAUAAUUCUACAAGUCUUUUUCGAUCCAGCAGGAUUGUCCUUUUAAACCCAAGAUACCGGCGGUGACCUUCCACAACUUUUGCCAUGUUUCCAUAAUAAGUGGGUAUGAAAGUAUUACUGGCUAUUGAGACCAUGAAAUCCAGAGCAGCCAUCUGAGAAGAAUGAUUCUGGAAUUGUUGCAGCUCCACUGGAUCUAACAGCAUUUCCUUUCUCACCUGAAAUAACCUUUGAGACUGAGAUCUAGAAGAAAUAAGCUUGACAUAAAAGUAAAAAUAAAACCAAACAUUGAUGUUGAAUUAACAAGUGAAUACAUGCAUAUGCCAGAGUCACAUUCAACCAUUUGAUGGGGACUUCAUGAAUUGAGGUUCAGAAGUUAAAUCAAUGGAAUAAUUAUUCUAGAAGAAAACCCAUCAAAAAGCAUCCUUGACCCAUCGGCAAACAUGCCUCAAGCACCAAUCAAUCAGAAAGGCAAGUCCUGAGUCUUCUGACUACUGUUCUUCUACACAUGCCCUGGUGUUCGACAAGUAUUUAGCCAGUGUUGCAAAUAUAAAAACUGCAAAUAGAAUAAAAAAUUUAAUGCAAGACGCAGAACGGUAAACAACUCACAAUCCGUGGAAAUGCAGCCCUUAGUGCUGCAAGUCUCCGUUCACUGCCAUAUAUCUCACCAGCUGCAAUAUAUAUCUGUGUUUCCUUGUCAAAACCCAAUGCCUGCAAAAUCAAUGCCGUCUCUUCAGGUGUCAAAGGACACAAACCUUGUAGUCUCCUCUCUUCAGACACUAUCUCUUUCUCCCUCCACCAAGGGUAUGCAUACCUUAACGACUUGAGCUCAUCAGCUUCAUCCUUAGUGCAACCAUGAGUACAACCUGAGAAAGCCAACAUGUCCAUCUCAUAUCUAAGAUGCAAGGCCACAAAAGGCCCCCUAUCCUGAAGAAUGCGAACCAAUUUGUAACCCAAACUUUCAAUCUGCGGAGUGAAUUUCAGUGCCUCAAAAUUAACACGGCAUCUGAGUUUCUGAAGAUUGAGUGAGAUCCCAUUGUUUGCCAAGCGUGCAUCAGUUUUGUUGAAGUGCAACACCUUAAACUUGCCAAAUAGUGGUAAAAUCUGUUGUAGGUAAUAUUUUUCAUUUGACCAACUAACUGGGGGCAUCUUGAAUACUUUGUAUCCAUAUUUCCUAUGAAAUCUUUUUGGCACCCUUCUUACAAUUCGAACUUCAUCUCUUAAUGAGUCAAUGAAAUGUUUCACAUUAAAGAUGUCUUCAAAGUUGCUAGGGUCAGCCCAGAAAGACGUCUUGUCAAGUUCAGGAACAACCAAAGUGAGAUUCAAAAGCCGAGCAACAGCCACCAUGUCGCAGAUCGCAGCACGCAUUUGAUUCAAGCCCCCAUUGCAGGACACUUUCAGAUAACCAUUACUUAUAUAGUUUCUUGCAGGAAGAAGUGGCGGAGGAGGUGAUUGAGCAUGAACUUGAACUCCAAGAGGAAACGGCGUGAUCUGGGUGAUUUUAUGUGUAAUAUUGGUGAAAAAGCGCGGAUGCCAUAGCUCCCCAACGGCCACGAGUUGAACCAAACCAGUCCAUAGCAAAAUACUCGAGCAAACCCUUAUAAACCAAACCUGCAGGCGCGUUCUAGCGAUCACUGGAUGACCCCCUGACCCAAACUUCUCACACCUCACUUGUACACCGUCAGAUCUAACCUCCAUUUGUCACCUUCACUCCUCAUCAUCGCCCCUUCAUCCAAAUAGAUCUCCACAUGGGUUUAGGGAUCAAAAUCUCCAAGAAAACAUCCACAUUGUAGAAUUUACCAAAAGCUUAUCAACGAUCUUGGAAUCAAGAUUAGUACUAAAAGCUUCAAUCUUUAGAAUCCGCUCACAGAUAGAGUAAAAGGGAAUUCAAGAGGGGAAAAACAAAGAAUCAAAAGGAUUAGAAAAAGGAAUGAAUCUCACCAACCAAACACUGUUUAUUUGUUUAAUUUUUCUUUCCAGCAAAAAUUUAAUUAUCUUUUCUUCUUUCUGGAAUGGCUAAAACCGUAGAAUGCAAUUAAUUAAAAUAUAAUAAAAAUUAUUCUAGUUAAAACUCUCAAUCUGGCUGAAAAUUUUCUGGAGAAAAUUGUGAGAAAGGGAAGUGUUUGGCUGCCUGACAAAUUCGACCCAAUGACCAUAUCUUAGC